rnacentral:rRNA from 3 species
CCUGGUGCCUUGGGCGUGAUGGCUCCACUCCGAACCCAUCCCGAACUCGGUUGUGAAACUUCUCUGCGGCUACGAUACUUUGGGGGCUACCCCACGGGACAAUAGCUCGGUGCCAGGA